UGCUAAUCUGCGAUAAGCGCCGGUAAGGUGAUAUGAACCGUUAUAACCGGCGAUACCCGAAUGGGGAAACCCAGUGUGACUCGUCACACUAUCAUUAACUGAAUCCAUAGGUUAAUGAGGCGAACCGGGGGAACUGAAACAUCUAAGUACCCCGAGGAAAAGAAAUCAACCGAGAUUCCCCCAGUAGCGGCGAGCGAACGGGGAGGAGCCCAGAGCCUGAAUCAGCAUGUGUGUUAGUGGAAGCGUCUGGAAAGGCGCGCGAUACAGGGUGACAGCCCCGUACACAAAAGCGCAUGUGCUGUGAGCUCGAUGAGUAGGGCGGGACACGUGGUAUCCUGUCUGAAUAUGGGGGGACCAUCCUCCAAGGCUAAAUACUCCUGACUGACCGAUAGUGAACCAGUACCGUGAGGGAAAGGCGAAAAGAACCCCGGCGAGGGGAGUGAAAAAGAACCUGAAACCGUGUACGUACAAGCAGUGGGAGCACCCUUUGGGUGUGACUGCGUACCUUUUGUAUAAUGGGUCAGCGACUUAUAUUCUGUAGCAAGGUUAACCGAAUAGGGGAGCCGGAGGGAAACCGAGUCUUAAUUGGGCGUUAAGUUGCAGGGUAUAGACCCGAAACCCGGUGAUCUAGCCAUGGGCAGGUUGAAGGUUGGGUAACACUAACUGGAGGACCGAACCGACUAAUGUUGAAAAAUUAGCGGAUGACCUGUGGCUGGGGGUGAAAGGCCAAUCAAACCGGGAGAUAGCUGGUUCUCCCCGAAAGCUAUUUAGGUAGCGCCUCGUGAAUUCAUCUCCGGGGGUAGAGCACUGUUUCGGCUAGGGGGCCAUCCCGGCUUACCAACCCGAUGCAAACUGCGAAUACCGGAGAAUGUUAUCACGGGAGACACACGGCGGGUGCUAACGUCCGUCGUGAAGAGGGAAACAACCCAGACCGCCAGCUAAGGUCCCAAAGUCAUGGUUAAGUGGGAAACGAUGUGGGAAGGCCCAGACAGCCAGGAUGUUGGCUUAGAAGCAGCCAUCAUUUAAAGAAAGCGUAAUAGCUCACUGGUCGAGUCGGCCUGCGCGGAAGAUGUAACGGGGCUAAACCAUGCACCGAAGCUGCGGCAGCGACACUGUGUGUUGUUGGGUAGGGGAGCGUUCUGUAAGCCUGUGAAGGUGUGUCGUGAGGCAUGCUGGAGGUAUCAGAAGUGCGAAUGCUGACAUAAGUAACGAUAAAGCGGGUGAAAAGCCCGCUCGCCGGAAGACCAAGGGUUCCUGUCCAACGUUAAUCGGGGCAGGGUGAGUCGACCCCUAAGGCGAGGCCGAAAGGCGUAGUCGAUGGGAAACGGGUUAAUAUUCCCGUACUUGGUGUUACUGCGAAGGGGGGACGGAGAAGGCUAUGUUGGCCGGGCGACGGUUGUCCCGGUUUAAGCGUGUAGGUGUGUGUUCCAGGUAAAUCCGGUUCACUUUAACACUGAGGCGUGACGACGAGGCACUACGGUGCUGAAGCAACAAAUGCCCUGCUUCCAGGAAAAGCCUCUAAGCAUCAGGUAACAUCAAAUCGUACCCCAAACCGACACAGGUGGUCAGGUAGAGAAUACCAAGGCGCUUGAGAGAACUCGGGUGAAGGAACUAGGCAAAAUGGUGCCGUAACUUCGGGAGAAGGCACGCUGACACGUAGGUGAAGUGAUUUACUCAUGGAGCUGAAGUCAGUCGAAGAUACCAGCUGGCUGCAACUGUUUAUUAAAAACACAGCACUGUGCAAACACGAAAGUGGACGUAUACGGUGUGACGCCUGCCCGGUGCCGGAAGGUUAAUUGAUGGGGUCAGCGCAAGCGAAGCUCCUGAUCGAAGCCCCGGUAAACGGCGGCCGUAACUAUAACGGUCCUAAGGUAGCGAAAUUCCUUGUCGGGUAAGUUCCGACCUGCACGAAUGGCGUAAUGAUGGCCAGGCUGUCUCCACCCGAGACUCAGUGAAAUUGAACUCGCUGUGAAGAUGCAGUGUACCCGCGGCAAGACGGAAAGACCCCGUGAACCUUUACUAUAGCUUGACACUGAACAUUGAGCCUUGAUGUGUAGGAUAGGUGGGAGGCUUUGAAGUGUGGACGCCAGUCUGCAUGGAGCCGACCUUGAAAUACCACCCUUUAAUGUUUGAUGUUCUAACGUGGACCCGUUACCCGGGUUGCGGACAGUGUCUGGUGGGUAGUUUGACUGGGGCGGUCUCCUCCUAAAGAGUAACGGAGGAGCACGAAGGUUGGCUAAUCCUGGUCGGACAUCAGGAGGUUAGUGCAAUGGCAUAAGCCAGCUUGACUGCGAGCGUGACGGCGCGAGCAGGUGCGAAAGCAGGUCAUAGUGAUCCGGUGGUUCUGAAUGGAAGGGCCAUCGCUCAACGGAUAAAAGGUACUCCGGGGAUAACAGGCUGAUACCGCCCAAGAGUUCAUAUCGACGGCGGUGUUUGGCACCUCGAUGUCGGCUCAUCACAUCCUGGGGCUGAAGUAGGUCCCAAGGGUAUGGCUGUUCGCCAUUUAAAGUGGUACGCGAGCUGGGUUUAGAACGUCGUGAGACAGUUCGGUCCCUAUCUGCCGUGGGCGCUGGAGAACUGAGGGGGGCUGCUCCUAGUACGAGAGGACCGGAGUGGACGCAUCACUGGUGUUCGGGUUGUCAUGCCAAUGGCACUGCCCGGUAGCUAAAUGCGGAAGAGAUAAGUGCUGAAAGCAUCUAAGCACGAAACUUGCCCCGA
rnacentral:rRNA from 1 species